rnacentral:lncRNA from 1 species
UUUAGCAAACCUAUCGCUCAAGCUCUUACUUUGCUAAUAGAGAGUUUCUUCUUCCUCAUGAAGAAACUCCAAAAUUUGUUUUGAGUUGAAGCAUCACCAAAUCGAGCCACACCUCUUUUCAUCACCUUAUUCAUCAUAGCUCUCUCCUCCUCUUCACCAUCAUUUGGGCCACCUUCAUAUCAUCUUAUGUCAUAACAUAACACAUAUGAUUAGUAAAUUAGCAAGUGUACUAAUAUUCCAAUAUAGUAAUAAUUAGAAAUCCUAAAUAUCGAUCUCAAGGACUGCUUGAUGAUACAUAGUUCGAGUUUUAAAUCAGUUAAACAAAAGACUUGGGGUUUUGAAUUAUUGUUUUUAGAAUAGAAAAUAAAAUAGCAAAUAAAAGUAAACAAAGUAGUUGAACCGUUUAAAGUAUAUGAGUGAACAUGCUAGGAAAGGUGUAUGAUUGGAUCCUUUAAUAAUUUUGACCUGACC